GGUACAAUACUCUUACAUAGUAUCGUAGAGGUAUGAUACUCCUACAUAGUAUCUUACAUAGUAUCAUAGAGGUACGAUGCUCUUACAUAGUAUCUUACAUAAUAUCAUAGAGGUACGAUACUCCUACAUAGUAUCAUAGAGGUACAAUACUCCUACAUAGUAUCGUAGAGGUACGAUACUCUUACAAAGUAUCUUACAUAGUAUCGUAGAGGUACGAUACUCUUACAUAGUAUCGUAGAGGUACAAUACUCUUACAUAGUAUCGUAGAGGUAUGAUACUCCUACAUAGUAUCUUACAUAGUAUCAUAGAGGUACGAUACUCUUACAUAGUAUCGUAGAGGUACGAUACUAUUACAUAGUAUCGUAGAGGUACGAUACUCCCACAUAGUAUCAUAGAGGUACGAUACUCUUACCUAGUAUCAUAGAGGUACGAUACUCUUACUUAGUAUCAUAGAGGUACGAUACUCCUACAUAGUAUCAUAGAGGUACGAUACUCUUACAUAGUAUCUUACAUAGUAUCGUAGAGGUACGAUAUUCCUACAUAGUAUCGUAGAGGUACAAUACUCUUACAUAGUAUCGUAGAGGUACGAUACUCCUACAUAGUAUCGUAGAGGUACGAUACUCUUACAUAGUAUCAUAGAGGUACGAUACUCCUACAUAGUAUCAUAGAGGUAUGCUUCUCUUACAUAGUAUCUUACAUAGUAUCAUAGAGGUACGAUACUCUUACAUAGUAUCGUAGAGGUAUGAUACUCUUACAUAGUAUCUUAAAUAGUAUCGUAGAGGUACGAUACUCUUACAUAGUAUCGUAGAGGUACGAUACUCCUACAUAGUAUCGUAGAGGUACAAUAUUCUUACAAAGUAUCUUACAUAGUAUCAUAGAGGUACGAUACUCUUACAUAGUAUCGAAGAGGAUCAGGAAUUCGGAUCUGAUUUUAAUUUGAUUGCCUCCCUUCCUUCUGCAUACUUCUGUAAUAGCUAAUUGCACAUCAGUCAUAUUCAUGAUAAACUUAAUAAUUUCGAUUAAUUAUUUGUUAUUUUAUUUUUUUAAAAACCCUGAAAUUGUAAUGAAAGAAAGAAUGAUAUAAUAUAUAGAUGGCCAGAACGAGAUUCAAACCUGGGACCCUCUGAACCCUUGAUGAAUUUCUAUAUUAU